UCACCCUAGUCAGAUGACAGGGUGCAGAGGUUGGACGGAGAUGCAACUGCAGGCAGCAGGCCACCUUCCUGAGGCCGGGAAUGACCCAGCCAGGCAGCCGGGGCAGGGAGGCUUCUUCAAACCACCCCAGCUUGGUUGGCCACUUCUGGCACCAGCUACCCCGGCUGCACCCCCACAGACCAGAGAGAGCCCCAGGAAUCCAGGAAUGAGGGGCAGGUUGAGAAGAGAGAUUCACGCUGUGCACCCCCAGGACGUCUCAGUGGUGGUGGGUGUCCUUCCUUGUGUCUCAUAUCAACCGUCACCCAGAGUUGCAUCUCAUCACUGGUGACAAUUUCAUCUCUUGCAUCAGGUGGAAACCAGCCGUUUCUCUGGUGUAAAGGAGGAUUGCCUCCUGAGAGUGGAAUAUGUGUUUAUGGAGGGAAGACUGCAAAGAAGAGCAUCUUCUGGGAGAGUGCAUGUGCUCUUUCCCCAUCCUGCCUGCUUUGAAAACUCUUUCCUUGCUCUGGGAGCUUCAUACUCAACACAUCACACUGACUUCAGUAUAAUAGGGGAUAUGAGUUUGGCAAUAAAGUCAGACUUCAAAAUGAAGGCUUUAAAACCAGUUACCACCUCCUGAACGGGACCUAGGGCAAGUCAUUUAGCUCUGGGAGCCUCAGUUUCCCAACCUGUAAAAUGGAAGUACCAUAAUACUACAUCAUAAAGGUUUCUGGGAUUACAUGUGAUGCAUAGAUAGCAAAGCAUAGAUGUGCUUAGUCCAGAGCCUGGCACAUAGACCCUGCACAGUACAUGUUACCUAUUGUGUCAGUAUUAUUGUUUAGUGUUUUUAUUAAUGUUAUGCACAACACUGCUGGGAAGAAAUUUGUAGCACAUUAUAAGCCCUCCAUACACAUGGGAAGGCAGGGAAGAAGCAAGGAGCAGGCGAAGGGAAGGGAGGUAUCUUGGUCACAGUCCCCAGAAGCAGACCCUGAUUCGUGUGGCAACAGUGACUUAAAGAAGAGCACCCUGAGGGGCAGACAGAGAGAGGAAGAAGCCAGCAGGGCUGUGAGCCCAGGCCCCCAACCCAGGGCACUGAGCCACAUCCCAGGGUUUCCCAGCCUGAGCUAGGAUGCUGGGCUUUCAUACUCUGCCACCUGUCAGUCAGCAUCUAAGGGCCAUCCUGAGGGGACACUUCCAGCCCUCUGCAAGGAGGGACAAACAGCUCCAGUAGUCUGAGCACAGCCCUCUCCAAGGAAUCUCAGGUGCAGACAGAAGCCAAAACACACUCAGGCCAGGGCAGGGGUACAUGGAAACCUGGCAUAGGACCCAGGCAGAUCAUGAACAGGAGCUGCUCCAGGACAGAGGAGUGUAUCCUGAAUUAAGGUACAGGAAACUGAAGCUUCAACAAACAUGUAUUCAUAUAUACUACCUGUCCUUGAAACUUGCUCUUUUCAGUUAGCAUUUUCUCUAGGAGACCAUCCCAGAUCAGCCUAGGGAAAGCAGCCUCAUUCUUGGGAAAUACCUGCAGUGGGCAUUGACUGCAUAUGUUAUUAUAGGGCUCAUUGUCCUCUAUUGAUGGGUGUUUAAGUUGUUUCCAAUCUUUUGCUAUUACUGAAAAUGUAAUAUAUACUGCAAUAAAUAUCCUCGUACUACUGUCAUUCAUACAU